AACGAACGCUGGCGGCAUGCCUAACACAUGCAAGUCGAACGGGUGUAGCAAUACAUCAGUGGCGCACGGGAUAGUAACGCGUGGGAAUCUGCCUCGUAGUUCGGAAUAACACCGGGAAACUGAUGCUAAUACCGGAUACGCCCUUCGGGGGAAAGUUUUUCGCUAUGAGAGGAGCCCGCGUUGGAUUAGCUAGUUGGUGAGGUAACGGCUCACCAAGGCGACGAUCCAUAGCUGGUCUGAGAGGACGAUCAGCAUCACUGGGACUGAGACACGGCCCAGACUCCUACGGGAGGCAGCAGUGGGGAAUAUUGGACAAUGGGGGAAACCCUGAUCCAGCAAUGCCGCGUGAGUGAUGAAGGUCUUCGGAUUGUAAAGCUCUUUUGGCAGGGACGAUGAUGACGGUACCUGCAGAAUAAGCUCCGGCUAACUUCGUGCCAGCCGCCGCGGUAA
rnacentral:rRNA from 1 species